rnacentral:lncRNA from 1 species
GUGAGCCACCGCGCCCGGCCCAAAAGCAUUUACUGUUAAGGCUGCCUCAUUUUUCAGCUUUGUUGUAGUUGAGAUUCUGAUGUUCACCUAACAAAGUCCCUGACAAAACAGACUUCCUUCAAUCCAGGUCAUAAUUUGAAACGUUAUACAAUAAUGAGAUUUAAGUGAUGAAUGGAAAGAAAAGUAGGAGACUGAAAAGAUAUCAGAAAUUUCUAUUUGUUUUUAGAUUCAGAAAAAUAUAAUUACAGGCCAACAUGGGUCUGGCAGAGAGGAAGGACGUCAGCAGUUACUUGAAUGUAACCCCUUCCCAGCAUUUCCAAAGACCUGCAAUGUGCUCAUUGUGAUCCAAGGGCCUUGUUACCUAGUUUCUAGGUGAUCUACAGAAUUGAAACAACCCAGCACAACUUUAUUUCUUGAGAAGAUGAACCCUUAACUAUGAAGGUGCAGAAAGGAAGUCUUCAACUGCUCACUCACCAUGGCUACAGUAUUCAAAUGCAACAAUCAUUCAGAUAAAUAAAACCUGUGAGAAAAAGCCAACAGGUGGGCAAGCAAAGCGGCAGUGAUUCAUACUUUCAGUUAACCAAUUGAACAGUGGUGCUUCCUUCUAAAGAAGUUGUUCAUUGAUUUUUGUUUUUUAAGAAACAGAAAAGCAGCAGUAUAAUGAAAGAAGAUUGGCUGAAGGUCUAUGCAGCCUGUUAACUACGGCUUAGUACUUCCAGAAUCCUGAGGAACAACACAUGACCUGUGUCAUGAUAAGAGCACAGAACANNNNNNNNNNAAGUGCUGGGACUAAAGGCGUAAGCCACCGCGCCCGGCCCAAAAGCAUUUACUGUUAAGGCUGCCUCAUUUUUCAGCUUUGUUGUAGUUGAGAUUCUGAUGUUCACCUAACAAAGUCCCUGACAAAACAGACUUCCUUCAAUCCAGGUCAUAAUUUGAAACGUUAUACAAUAAUGAGAUUUAAGUGAUGAAUGGAAAGAAAAGUAGGAGACUGAAAAGAUAUCAGAAAUUUCUAUUUGUUUUUAGAUUCAGAAAAAUAUAAUUACAGGCCAACAUGGGUCUGACAGAGAGGAAGGACGUCAGCAGUUACUUGAAUGUAACCCCUUCCCAGCAUUUCCAAAGACCUGCAAUGUGCUCAUUGUGACAGUUUCACCUCCACUACUUCAACGAUUUUACCCUGUAAAUUGCUGAAGGUCUUUGUGAACUGUCGAACAGCAAAAACAAAAAGUAGAGGUAUCUAGAUUAUAAACUUCAACCA